rnacentral:tRNA from 1 species
GCUGAUAUGGCUCGGUGGUGAGCGCGCCUUGGUAGGAGUGAGGUCCCCAGUUCGACUCUGGGUAUCAGCACCA